AUGGAUUGGAUGCUCACGAUGACCUCACCGAAGAGAGGGGCGCCCCAAUUGAAGAUCUGGUACCAAUCCCUUUGAAUGACGAAAAUGCGGAGCAUGUAGCGAUGAUCGGCUCCAACCUGGGGGAGGAGGUGCGGAUGCGUCUCAUUGAUUUUUUACGAAGGAAUGCGGAUGUUUUUGCUUGGGUUCCAGCAAACAUGCCAGGGAUUGAC
rnacentral:lncRNA from 1 species